UUGGGCAAUCUUACUUUCGUCCUCUUCUCGUAUCUUCAGAUGUCACAACGUUGGAGUGGUUCAUGAGAUAAGAUAAAUAAAACUAGUCAGGAACUCCCUUACUAUGUAUAUCAUUCCUAUCUCAAUGAUAUCCCAUCACUCAUCUUCUAUAUACUCCAACUAUCUCAAUCUCCUUAGUAUAUGCAUAUAUCCUAAGAAAUCAAAAAUCCUACUCUCGACUUGUCACUCAAGUAGGGCUAGACUAAUAACAAUCAAGCACAUAGACAUACAUAGACACAUAAGGCACAUAGAAACACAUAUACAUAUCGCAUACAAACAUCAUUCUGCAUUUUCUCAAAUUAAAAACUUAACCAAUUUCACUUCGAAAAUUUGGUGGGUAGUUGGCUGAUACACUAAGGUAUUUACCAUAAAAAUUUGGAAAUCAAAACAUUAGGGGAAACUACUGAAAAAGGUGACUCUCAGGGUUGCCCUUCAAAAACAGUAGGUUCAAAAGAGUUGCAAAAUGACUCCACACUCAACAUACAAGCAAACAUACUCAAACUCCAUACUUCUUUAAUGAAAACUCUUCAAAACUCAUUUUAAAUUCUUAUAACGCUCAAGAACAUCAAUACAUAAACAUUUGACUCAUUAGACUCGGCUCGGUGGUCAGAGCAGAGAUUUCUCGGUAGCUAGAGUAGUGUGAGUUUAACAGACUGAGCAGAAUCAGCUCGGACGCCAGAGCAGAAUAGCUCGGCAGAGCAGAGAAUAAUAACUCGUCAGAGCAGAGCAGAAAAGCUCAACAGGCAGAGCAGAAAAGUUUGGCAGAGCAGAGCUGAAUGACUCGGCAGAGCAGAGCUGAAUGUCUCAGAAGAGCAGAGCUGAAUGACUCGGCAGAGCAGAGCUGAAUGACUCGGAAAAGCAUAGCUGAAUGACUCGGCAGAGCAGAGCUGAAUGACUCGGUCAGAGCAUAGCAAAAUGACUCGGUCAGAGUAGAGCAAAAUGACUUGGUGAGAGCAGAGCAAAAUAUCUUGGCAGAGCAGAGCAAAAUGACUCGGUCAGAGCAGAGUAAAAUGUCUCGGCAGAGCAGAGUAGAAUAGCUUGCCAGACCAGAACAGAAAUAGCUCGCCAGAGCAUAACAAAAACAGCUCGCCAGAGCAGAACAGAAACAGCUCGGUAGAGUAGAAAAGAAACAGCUCAGCAGAGCAGAAAAUAAACAUCAAACCAACCUUAGAUCUAUCAAUACAAGCCACUUAAACACAUACAUAAAUCAUCAAUUAGCAAUUUAAAGCAUAGAGACACAUAUACCUAAUUUUCAUCGAACUAACUCAUUCAAAAAUUCCAUCCAUUACUUCCAAUCAUCAAUCCAAUCCAUCAAUUAUCAUAUUAGUCAUCUCAUCAACUCAUACUCAUCAUCAAUUCAUCAUUUAAUCCAUAGACUCAAGAAUUCCCAAUUUUUAGGCAAACUAACCUAAGUGAAAAUUCACAUCUCAUGACAAAACUUUACAAUACACAUAAGAAUCAUCUUAAAACACCUUAGUAAGCAUAAAUCUCAUCCCAAUUUAAGAAAAGAAAGAGAAAAAUUUUUGAAGGGGAAAAACUCCCUAUUUUCGAAAAUUAGAGAAAAGGGGUAGGGGUGUUUUCAUGCUUCAAUCAUGCAUAUACACAUAUAUCUAACUCACAUAUGAUUAGAUCAAAAAAUAUAUUCUUCUCUCUAAACUUCAAGCUCAAACCUUCUAAAAUCUCUUUGAAAUCAAGUGUAGAAAGUGUUUAGGGCUUGAUUUAGUGAAGGAUUAUGCCAUAGAUGUGAUUUUGGAAAGCUUGGAAGGUCUCUCUAAUGGAGGUUCAUGAAUGAAGGAGAGAUGAGGGAGAGAGAAAGAGAGAGGGGCGAGAGGUUGAGGGUGAGAGGUGAGAGAAAAAUUUGCUUUG
rnacentral:lncRNA from 1 species